GAAAAAUCAAAAAAAAAAUACCAAACGACUAAAAUACCUAAGAAAACAUUGUUCCGUUGAAGAAUUGGUUGAUCCUUGAAGCUCUCAUUUCUGGAAUCAUUUAGGGAUAAUCAUUGGAUGAAAUGGCUUGAUUUAGGUAGGUUUGCAAGGGCAUUUGGUUCAAUUUUGGGUUGUGUUUUAUUACUGAAUAUUUUCUGAGAGUCCUGGUGGUUUGAACUUGCUUCAAAACUGAUUUUUCUUUGUGGGCUAACUUUGUUGCUAGUCCUUGAUACUGCUUUGCUGAUACUUCAUUUCUGCUUUUUGUCUUCAAUUUCCAGAUACAAAUCUCCUAAAAUUGUGCAAUCUGAUGCUAGAAUGGAAAAAUGAAAUGAGAGAAUGGAAGUUUUGUUAUUUCUAAAGAUCAAUCUGUUAUACUGUCAUGUUUUAAAACUGUUGUUUGAGUUAUUUCCUUCUGUAGACUGUAAUAUAUAGUUUGAAUAUUAAGUUUGCUUAAAUCCCUAUGCAUUCGAUAAGCAUAACAUGUGGAUUUUGUUGAGUAGAACUAGUCAUAAUUGCUUGGUUUUAAAUGAUCUCUUGAGUGCUGAAGUUAUACAUGAUCCCUAGUUUUGUAAAUGCAUAAUGCUCUUUAGUAAUUUAAACUAUGAUGUAGUAUUUGGACUUUUAUCACUCAUGAAGCAUGGCGAUCAUGAAAGAUUGAUCGUAUGAUAAUUUUGAUCUCUUAAGUAUUUUGUUACCAUCUCUUUUGAAAUAAUAGUAUAAGUUUGUUUUAAUUCGAAUAUCGUGUGAGUGUACUAGUUGUUUGUUGUUGUCUAAGUAAUGAGUCAUGAAUAGAUGGGGUUCUUUAGUAGUUUGAGAGCAUUUUCUUUUCCAGAUUCUUUGAAAUUUUUACAUAUUCCAUCACAAUGUUUAAAACUAGUUUGAGAUUUAAAAUUAAAAUUGCAUAUAGUUGAAUUGUCAAAAUGCAUGUUGUCUGGAAUUCACAUUCCUGCUUCUGGGAGCUAAGUAGCAUUUUGGGCCUUCAGGGAUUUGAUUCCUGGGCCAGGACUUCGCUAAUCUCCCUUUAUCCGGGACUGGGCCUGAUUUGGAAGUCCUGGAGCAUUGUUUUCUUUUGGUUUGAUGGUUUUAAAAUUGAAAUGUGAGAAGCUGGCUUUCCAAGCUAAGUGGUGAAUUCGAGCUAGGAUCUCUUCAAAUUGAAAUUGUCCUUGUUCGAAUUUGGGCUUGAUCUUGGGGCCCAAACCUGCCAUCCCUUUUGAAUGUUGUUUCUUUCUUAUUGAGCUUCCAGUUCAUUGGUGCUGGGCCGAGCCUCUUUGUUAAAAUAAUAAAAAUUUUCCAUGUAAUCCUUUAGUCAAUUAAAUAGAAUCUUAACAAUAGUUAGUGUUAGUUACUUAAGUCCAUUAAUUAGAAUGGAGGCGAGCCAUAAUAGAUAAUAAUAGUUCAUGGCUCCCCUAAAUUUUAGCUAGGACAUCCUUUAAAAAAUGAAUUUGAGGUGCGCCACGCCAAAUAAAAUUACAAAUGUGUGCCCUCUUUCAAUUAUUUUCUUUAAAAUACUUAGAAUUCGAGGUGUGCUAUUUAGCAAAUUUCCAUGGCCCUCGCAAAGUUAACAACGCGUAGUUGUUUUAGGCACGUCUUUUAAUAAUAUUACCUUCUUAAAUUUUGGUGUGCAUUCACGUGACCUAAAUCCAAAUCCUAAAAUGUUGAAUAAAAUGUGUUUUGGACUGCAGGUGCAUUUCAUGUGACGCGUUCAAAAGACAUGUUUUAGACGAUGUUCAAUCUUCUUUAGAAUUAAUUAAAAGCGGUAAUAAUUUAAAAUUAACUAUAGGUUUGAACAUGUAUUUAAAAUCAGAUAAUAUACCAAUUAGAUUAGUUUAAACGAUCGUGCUAAAAUCACGGAAUCUGGAAAUAGCUAACACAUUCCAUCGGGUUAAUAGAAUUCCUUAUUUAGAAUUUCUGGUUAGCAGACUUCAAAAGGAAAGUGGAAAUUUUCCUCGAUCUGUGAUUUAAAAUAAAUUGGUGACUUGGGACACCAGAAAACCAUGUGGCGACUCUAAACAAAAAUUGAAUAAAUAAUCCUCAUUUCGAAUAAUGUCACUUAAUUGAAAAAAACUCCCUUAUACACUAUCCUUCGGGGUGAUGUAAAAAAGAGAUGUGACUACCGCAGAGUUAUAGGCUUAAACAACUUCAUCUCAAACCUAAUCUCUUCAUUUAGAGCUCCAAUGAAACUGGAGAUGAAGUGUGAUUCAUCCAAGAGAGGAUUCCUUAUCAACAUUUGUCAUCAAGUCUUCAAACUUGCCUAGGAAUUCAUCAACCGACCAUGUUUGACUCAACUUGUUAAACUCUUUGACUAUGUCUCUCAUUAGUUCCUCCCCAAAUCGAUUAAGCAACUCCUCUUUGUAUUCAGUCCAGCUUACUUCACCCCUACUUAGCACUAAUGAGUAGUAUCAAGUUUCAGGUAAUCCAUUCAGAUAGAGUGCAGCAUCUUCUACCUUCAGAUUAUCUGAGGUUCUAUACAAAUUGAAGUACCUUUCACACUUUCGAAUCCAUACCUUAGAUUCAUGACCUUCAAAGUAAGGCAGUUUCCACUUAGGAGAAGGGGCCUGCACAACUUGAGGCCUGUGUUGUAUCAAUUCCUGACUUGGUAUGGGUAAGGGAGUCCAUCUCCUUGAGGUCUGUUACCUUGAGCUCGUUGGGGAACUCUUUCCAAAUUUGUCAACCCCUCUAAGAUUAACUCUAAGGUACUUGUAUCCCAAUUUGAGUGUUGCGUAAUUCCUCUUGGGUGGUCAGAACUUUAUUCAAAAUCUCAUCAUGUCUUACCAGCUUAUUAUCCAUAACUUCAGCCUCGUUCCUUCAAUCAUCACCUUCUUCACCAGUCACAGGAUCAAGGCUCUAAUACCAAUUGUAAUGAUCUCGAUAAGAACUAAAAAGAUUAAACAACUAAUUUGCAAAAUUGAGGGAAUUUUUCAGACAAUUUUCGGUUUAUAUUAAUGAAAAUAAGAAGUUGAACUAUAAAACAACCGAAAAUAACUUUCUUCUAAAUUGGAACUCCAUAGCUGGUGAGAUCUGCCGAAUGAAGGAGGAAGGAGUUAGAAGGGAAGAGAGAAAGAAAGAGAAACAAAGAUCGAGUAAAGAAAGAGAGAAGAGAGAAAAUGACCUGAGGUUUGCUGCCUUCCUCUUUCCGUUGAAGGUGGUUCUAACAACCUCAAGCUGACAUGACUCCAUCCUCGCUCUUGCAACUCAUUAACUCUAAUCUAAUCUCAGCAGUUCAAUUAAAUUUCUGUUAUUCCCUUUCACAAUUUAUGUUACUGAUGAUCUUAAGCUUCUUCACUUCGAACCCAGUUAGCAACACUGACUUUACGGUGAUUAAUGGAUCAUUACAAGUUUCAAUCAAAUUUAUGUCCAAAAAGCUAACUAAGUUUUAAUGCAAGUACUUUGAAAGAUAGUUUUGAAUUUACCAAAAACUUCACCACAUUUAUGAUCUUUUAAGAUAACUUCUAAUUUCCCAAAAACUUAACAAAACAUGCGAAUCUUUGGCAAUUAGUAGCAGCUAAUUGUGCGCUACGAAAUAUGGAAUAUGAGAAUGAUGAUGAUAAGAACUUAACGAUCCCCAUGAGGGUGAACACGCAAAUUUAGCUGUUAAGACUUAAAAAGAAAGUCCCUCUCGCAUAAAAAUCCUCAACAGUUUUCUUACAAGAUAUAAAUAUCGUUUAAUCUCUAAAACUUCAAUAGCACGGACAAAACUUGGGAAUAGACUCCCUUCAAAUUAAGGUCAUGAGGUCGAUGGUAUGGAUAAGCUUGUUUUAUAGCUUUGGCUCUAGAAUAUGUUCUUUUCCCCAAUAAAUUGCCUAAACAAUCGUUGUAAAAAUAAUAAAGCUUCCAAAGUGACUCUCAGGAACUUUUCGCUGCCAGUCGCACAUAUUUUCCAUCAAUAACGAACUUAGAACUCGAAUUUAUCUGCACAAAAUAGGAACAAAAAUCGCGUCAGUACCCUUACACAUUUGGUUAAAGGAUCAGUCAUGAACAAACAGGCAUAGAUACGGUUUGAUCACCUUAUGCUCAAUUGUGUCGCUGACUUGGCUUUUGUCUUUUAUUAUGCCAGACUCAUUCACAGACUUCAGGACAAUCUUUUCAAGUUUCUUCAACUUCAGAACACCAUCAGAAUUCUGUCCCAAGUGCGACAAGAGCGUAAGAGAGAUACCAGAG
rnacentral:lncRNA from 1 species